rnacentral:misc_RNA from 1 species
GAUGAAGAACGCAGCGAAAUGCGAUAAGGAGUGUGAAUUGCAGAAUUCAGUGAAUCAUCGAAUCUUUGAACGCACAUUGCGCCCCUUGGUAUUCCAUGGGGCAUGCCUGUUCGAGCGUCAUUUGUACCUUCAAGCUCUGCUUGGUGUUGGGUGUUUGUCUCGCCUCUGCGUGUAGACUCGCCUCAAAACAAUUGGCAGCCGGCGUAUUGAUUUCGGAGCGCAGUACAUCUCGCGCUUUGCACUCAUAACGACGACGUCCAAAAGUACAUUUUUACACUCUUGACCUCGGAUCAGGUAGGGAUACCCGCUGAACUUAAGCAUAUCAAUAAGCGGAGGA